CCUUCUCACCAUAACCUCCCAUCCUACCACAACACCUCUCGCCAUAACCUCCUUGAACACCUCUCUCUCUCUCUCUCUCUCUCUCUCUCUCUCUCUCUCUCUCUCUCUCUCAACCAAAGGCCGGCCAAAGAAUUUUGCAAUAUAUCUUGUUGUCGUCGAUAUGCUUAUGUAGAUAUACGAGUUCUCGGCUAAGCGCUUCUUCGAUUCGAUGAAGGACGAGAACCUCCUGUUUUGUUGUUAAUUUCUUCAAAUCAUAUGCUUUUUACUAUCUUAGAACCUAUACUUCUUUUUAUUACAGUGAUAUUUCUCAGAUUUGUCUUUCUUAAUCACAUUUUUCAGAUUAGGUAUUCUCCUUUGAAUUCGGUAUGUGGAAUAUUAAGGUUGAAUUAAUUAUGGUUUCUGCUAUCAAUUGUAGGAAAAUGGUUAGUGUUUGGAUGCUAGCUCUCUUUGUAUAUGUGAUAUAUAUUUGAUGGAACAUUAGGUUCACUGUGGUGGGCUAGCUUUUCAACAUUGAGGAAGAUUCAGAUACCAAAGUGGUUGGUUGGAUAAGACGAUGUUGAUUAAAGGAUUUGGUUUUUGAGAAUUUGGGAAUUGUCUAACUUUUGUUUUUUGGGUUGUCAUUGUACAAGUAUCCAUUUUUGCCACCAAGCAUGACCUUUGCUGUUUGGAUUUACACCUGAAUAUAUCGUCUGCAAAGGUGGAAAUCACAUUCUCAAUAUUCUUUUAAAGAUAGAAGAAUAUGUUGAAGUUGCAAUCUUCUGUAAAUAAUUUCAGACCAGAUUUGUUAAGGGUUGAUGUCAGUGGCAAUUGGUUGGAUUUCAGAUGAUGAAGUUUAAUUUGCUGAGAAGAUAUGCAAGUUUGUGAGGGAUCUGCAAUAUGAUUUGGACACCCAAGUUUUCAAUUUUGGUUUGGUCAAUAUGUUUAUUUGAUGUUGUCCAUAGUAUAUGUUCUUGUAUCUUUCAAAAAAGCAAAAUAAUAUAUACUCUUGUAACUUCAGUACUUGGUUAUGUUAUAAUUUUUUUCCCUCCUAGGAGGUAA